GGCCUUUUGAAUUUAAUAUAAGGUCUGACCUGCCCAGUGAUAUUUUUAACGGCCGCGGUAUACUGACCGUGCAAAGGUAGCAUAAUCAUUAGUCUUUUAAUAGAGGGCUGGAAUGAAAGGUUUCACGAGGAACUGACUGUCUCAUUUUAUUUGUUUUAAAAUUUAAUUUUUUAGUUAAAAAGCUAAAAUUUUAUUGGUAGACGAGAAGACCCUAUAGAGCUUUACAUAUAAUUAAAUAAAUAUUUUUAUAUUAAUAUUUUUAUUUAUUUUUGUGUUUUGUUGGGGUGACAAAAAUAUAUAACUAACUUUUUUAUUUACUUUACAUUGAUUUAUGAAUAUUAGAUCCAAUAUUAUUGAUUAUUAGACUAAGUUACCUUAGGGAUAACAGCGUAAUCCUCCUCCAGAGUUCAUAUUUACAGGAUGGGCUUGCGACCUCGAUGUUGGAUUAAGAUAAUAAUUAGGUGUAGCCGCUUAAUUGAUAGGUCUGUUCGACCUUUAAAUUCUU
rnacentral:rRNA from 1 species